UUCCGGUUGAUCCUGCCGGAAGUCACUGCUAUUGGAGUUCGAUUAAGCCAUGCGAGUCAAGGGGACUUCGGUUACCGGCGUACUGCUCAGUAACACGUGGAUAAUCUGCCCUUGGGUGGGGCAUAGCCUCGGGAAACUGAGGGUAAUUCCCCAUAGGUCAUAAUUGCUGGAAUGCAUCUUGACUUAAAGCUCCGGCGCCCAAGGAUGAGUCUGCGGCCUAUCAGGUUGUAGUGGGUGUAACGGACCCACUAUCCUACGACGGGUACGGGUCGUGAGAGCGAUUGCCCGGAGAUGGAUUCUGAGACACGAGUCCAGGCCCUACGGGGCGCAGCAGGCGCGAAACCUUCGCAAUGCGCGAAAGCGCGACGAGGGGAGCCCGAGUGCCCUUCCUUUUGGGAGGGCUUUUCCGGAGUCUAAAAAGCUCCGGGAAUAAGGGCUGGGCAAGACGGGUGCCAGCCGCCGCGGUAAUACCCGCAGCUCGAGUGGUGGCCACUAUUAUUGAGCCUAAAGCGUCCGUAGCCGGACCCGCAAAUCCCUGGGUAAAUCCUGGCGCUCAACGUCAGGAAUUCCGGGGAGACUGCGGGUCUUGGGACCGGGAGAGGCCGGAGGUACUCCCGGGGUAGGGGUAAAAUCCUGUAAUCCCGGGGGGACCACCUGUGGCGAAAGCGUCCGGCUUGAACGGCUCCGACGGUGAGGGACGAAGGCCAGGGGAGCAAACCGGAUUAGAUACCCGGGUAGUCCUGGCUGUAAACGCUGCCCGCUUGGUGUUGUCGGUCUCUCGGGGGCCGGCAGUGCCGGAGCGAAGGUGUUAAGCGGGCCGCUUGGGGAGUACGGCCGCAAGGCUGAAACUUAAAGGAAUUGGCGGGGGAGCACUACAAGGGGUGGAGCGUGCGGUUUAAUUGGAUUCAACGCCGGA
rnacentral:rRNA from 1 species